rnacentral:rRNA from 1 species
GACGAACGCUGGCGGCGUGCUUAACACAUGCAAGUCGAACGAAGAGGCGAACGGGCGAGUAAUACGUGGGUAACCUGCCCUCCUUUUUGGGAUAAGCCUUGGAAACGGGGUCUAAUACCGAAUAAAGGGGGAUGGGCUCGCGGCCUAUCAGCUUGUUGGUGGGGUGAUGGCCUACCAAGGCGGUGAGGGUUAGCCUUCCGUAGGGGGUGUGCGGCGACAUUGGGACUGAGAUACGGACCAGACUACGACGGGAGGCAGGAGUGGGGGAUAUUGCACAAUGGGAGAAAGCCGGAUGCAGCGACGCCGCGUGGGGGAUGAAGGCUUUCGGGUUGUAAACCUCUUUCGCUAUCGAAAGUGUAGGUGGAGAAGAAGCGCCGGCUAACUACGUGCCAGCAGCCGCGGUAAUAC